rnacentral:rRNA from 1 species
GAGCUUGCUCUUAUGAAGUUAGCGGCGGACGGUUGAGUUUCACGUGGGUAACCUGCCCAGAAGACGGGGAUAACUCCGGGGGACCGGGGCUAAUACCGGAUAACAUUUUGAACCGCAUGGUUCGAAAUUGAAAGGCGGCUUCGGCUGUCACUUAUGGAUGGACCCGCGUCGCAUUAGCUAGUUGGUGAGGUAACGGCUCACCAAGGCAACGAUGCGUAGCCGACCUGAGAGGGUGAUCGGCCACACUGGGACUGAGACACGGCCCAGACUCCUACGGGAGGCAGCAGUAGGGAAUCUUCCGCAAUGGACGAAAGUCUGACGGAGCAACGCCGCGUGAGUGAUGAAGGCUUUCGGGUCGUAAAACUCUGUUGUUAGGGAAGAACAAGUGCUAGUUGAAUAAGCUGGCACCUUGACGGUACCUAACCAGAAAGCCACGGCUAACUACGUGCCAGCAGCCGCGGUAAUACGUAGGUGGCAAGCGUUAUCCGGAAUUAUUGGGCGUAAAGCGCGCG